GACGAACGCUGGCGGCGUGCUUAACACAUGCAAGUCGAGCGGUAAGGCCCUUUCGGGGGUACGACGAGCGGCGAACGGGUGAGUAACACGUGGGUGACCUGCCCUCAGCUCUGGGAUAAGCCUGGGAAACCGGGUCUAAUACCGGAUAUGACUCCAUGACGCAUGUUGUGGGGUGGAAAGCCUUGUGGCGGCUGAGGAUGGGCCCGCGGCCUAUCAGCUUGUUGGUGGGGUGAUGGCCUACCAAGGCGACGACGGGUAGCCGGCCUGAGAGGGCGACCGGCCACACUGGGGACUGAGACACGGCCCAGACUCCUACGGGAGGCAGCAGUGGGGAAUCUUGCGCAAUGGGCGAAAGCCUGACGCAGCGACGCGCGUGAGGGAUGACGGCCUGGUGUAACUACUUC
rnacentral:rRNA from 1 species